CCCAACGCCCCCCUUGAUCCACAUUGUCCCCAAUGUCCCCAGUGCCCCCAUUGCCCCCAUUGACCCCAAUGUCCCCAUUGUCCCCAACACCCCCGUUGUCCACACUGACCCCAACACCCCCAACGUGCCCAAUGUCCCCAAUGCCCCCAUUGACCCCAACGCCCCCAUUGUCCCCAAUGUCCCCAAUGCCCCCAUUGACCCCAAUGUACCCAAUGCCCCAAUGAUCCCCAUUGACCCCAUUGUCCCCAUUGUCUCCAUUGUCCCCAAUGCCCCCAUUGACCCCAUUGUCCCCAACACUCUCAUUGUCCCCAACACUCUCAUUGUCCCCAACGCCCCCAUUUGUCCCCAUUGUCCCCAACGCCCCCAUUGUCCCCAAUGCCCCCAUUGUCCCCAUGUCCCUACCGGGCAGUGUGAGCAGUGACUGCAGUGGGACACACGAUGUCACCCCCGCUGGCGUCGGUGACACAAUCGCUCCACAGCCCGCGGGUGUUGGUGACAGACGCCACCACCGUCACCUGCCCCCCCCCCACCCCCCAGGCACUGUGGGGCAGAGAGGAAACCAACAGCGCCCACCCCACAGCGCCCAGGGCCACCCCCAGGGCCACCCCCCAGGUGACGGGGGGGGACAUGGGGACAACGGUGGGGACGGAGGGGCGGUAUGGGGGCAGAGGGGGAGAUUUGGGGUCAGGGGUGGGGAUGGAGGGAUAAUAUGGGGGCAGAGGGGGAGAUUUGGGGUCAGGGGUGGGGAUGGAGGGAUAAUAUGGGGGCAGAGGGGGAGAUUUGGGGUCAAAGGGACAAAUUUGGGGUCAGGGGAUGGGGACUGAGGGACAAUAUGGGGUCAGGGAUGGGGAUGGAGGGACAGAUUUGGGGUCAAAGGGACAAAUUUGGGGUCAGGGGUGGGGAUGGAGGGAUAAUAUGGGGGGCAGAGGGGGAGAUUUGGGGUCAGGGGUGGGGAUGGAGGGAUAAUAUGGGGGCAGAGGGGGAGAUUUGCGGUCAAAGGGACAAAUUUGGGGUCAGGGAUGGGGAUGGAGGGAUAAUAUGGGGGCAGAGGGGGAGAUUUGGGGUCAGGGGUGGGGAUGGAGGGAUAAUAUGGGGGCAGAGGGGGAGAUUUGGGGUCAGGGGUGGGGAUGGAGGGAUAAUAUGGGGGCAGAGGGGGAGAUUUGGGGUCAAAGGGACAAAUUUGGGGACAAAUUUGGGGUCAGGGGUGGUGAUGGAGGGACAGUAUGGGGGCAGAGAGGGAAAUUUGGGGUCAAAGGGACAAAUUUGGGGUCAGGGAUAGAGACUGAGGGACAAUAUGGGGUCAGGGAUGGGGAUGGAGGGACAAUAUGGGGUCAGAGGGGGAAAUAUGGGGUCAAAGGGACAAAUUUGGAGUCAGGGUGGGGACAAAAUGGGGACAGAGGGACAAAUUUGGGGUCAGAGGUGGGGAUGGGGGGAUAAUAUGGGGGCAGAGGGGGAAAUUUGGGGUCAGGAGUGGGGACGGGGGGAUAAUAUGGGGUCAGAGAUGGGGAUGGAGGGGCAAAAUUGGGGCCAAAGGGGCAAAUUUGGGGUGAGGGGUGGGGAAAGAGGGAGAAAUUUGGGGUCAAAGGGGCAAAUGUGGGGUCAGGGAUGGGGACAAAGUUGGGGACAGAUAUGGGGUCAGGAAUGGGGUCAGGAAUGGGGUCAGGAGGACUCACGGUCCCGCAGCGGUGGUGGCACUGCGGGCUGCGGUGCCUUUAUGGGGUGGGGGUGGGGACAAAGGGGUGGGGACAAAAGGGGGGACGACAGGGGGGGGGGAUGACUGUGGGGUCUGUGGGGUGGCCAUGGGGUCUAUGGGGCGACAAUGGCCUCCAUGGGGUGACAAUGGGUUCAAUGGGGUGAUAAUAGGUUCUAUGGGGUGAUAAUGGGCUCUAUGGGGUGAUAAUGGGCUCUAUGGGGUAACAAUAGGUUCUAUAGGGCAACAAUGGGCUCUAUGGGGUAACAAUAGGUUCUAUGGGGUGAUAAUGGGCUCUGUGGGGUAACAAUGGGCUCUAUGGGGUGGCAGAGGGGUCUAUGGGGUGAUGAUGGGCUCUAUGGGGUGACGAUGGGCUCUACGGAGUAACAAUGGGCUCUAUGGGGCAAUCAUAGGUUCUAUGGGGUGAUAAUGGGCUCUAUGGGGCGACAAUGGGCUCUAUGGGGUAACAAUGGGUUCUAUGGGGUAACAAUGGGUUCUAUGGGGUAACAAUGGGUUCUAUGGGGUGAUAAUAAGUUCUAUGGGGUGAUAAAGGGCUCUAUGGGGUGAUAAUGGGCUCUAUGGGGUGACAAUGGGCUCUAUGGGGUAACAAUGGGUUCUAUGCGGUGAUAAUAAGUUCUAUGGGGUAACAAUGGGCUCUAUGGGGUAAUAAUGGGCUCUAUGGGGUGACAGUGGGCUUUAUGGGGUGACGAUGGGCUCUAUGGGGUAACAAUGGGUUCUACGGGGUGAUAAUAGGUUCUAUUGGGUAAUAAUGGGCUCUAUGGAGCAACAAUGGGCUCUAUGGGGUAACAAUGGGCUCUAUGGGGUGGCAGAGGGGUCUAUGAGUUAACAAUGGGCUCUAUGGGGUGACAGUGGGCUCUAUGGGGUGAUGAUGGGCUCUAUGGGGUAACAAUAGGUUCUUUGGGGUGAUAAAGGGCUCUAUGGGGUGAUAAUAGGUUCUAUGAGGUGAUAAUGGGCUCUAUGGAGUAACAAUGGGUUCUAUGGGAUAACAAUGGCCUCUAUGGGGUAACAAUGGGCUCUAUGGGGUGCUAAUAGGUUCUAUGGGGCGCUGAUAGGUUCUAUGGGGCGGCGAUGCACUCCGUGUGCCGACAAUGCCCUCCAUGGGGUCCCCCUUCCAUCCCCCCCCCCCAUCCCAUCCCAUCCCCUUCCUGUAGGGCCGCCCCUCCCUUCCUCCCCCCCCCCCCCCCCGACGUCCCCUUCCUGUUGACGCCGCUCUGACGGUGACAGCAAAGGGACAAUGGGGACAAUGAUGGGACCCCACAGCCGCCACCACCCCCCACAUGAUGAUGUCCCCCCCCCCAUAUUGUGUGUCCCCCCAUAUUAUGUCCCCCC
ensembl:lncRNA